rnacentral:rRNA from 1 species
UGACCGUACUAAGGUAGCAUAAUAAUUUGCCUUUUAAUUGGAGGCUAGUAUGAAUGGCUUGACGUGAAAUAUGCUGUCUCAACUAUAUUUAGUAGAAUUUAACUUUUAGGUGAAGAGGCCUAAAUUUUGUGGGAAGACAAGAAGACCCUAUUGAGCUUUAAAUAUUUAUGUUAGUGGGAGCCUAAGAUUUAUAUGAUGGUCAUUACUUCUAAGUAUGUUGGUUGGGGCGACCGAGGAGUAUAAAGUAACCUCCUUGUAAUGUAAAGAAUUUGUUAUCAACGAACCUGUAAUAUAGGUUAUUCGGUAGUUACCAUAGGGAUAACAGCGUAAUUCUUUUGAAGAGUUCAUAUCGAAGAAAGAGAUUGCGACCUCGAUGUUGGAUUAAGGUGUCCUAAGGG